rnacentral:lncRNA from 1 species
GCCUGGGCUGUUGCGCGGGUAAGGAGACAGGCAAAAACCAAGGCCAAAGUGAAAAAGAAAACAAAAUAAGCCUUUGGAAAAGUGACUCAGCCUGUUCGGGAACCAUUUAAUAACGAGCCAACUUUUUGUAAGGCUAUUUUAACUCAUUUCUGCGUUUGUUCACUCAUUCUUUUAACGCUUACUACCUUCUUCCCCUGGGUUCUGGCUGAGCUAGGUUAUGGGGAACAAGAUGAUGAAUGAAAGUGGCAGCUGUACCCUUCUCAGAUGUAAAGUUAUGUAAACAAAUCAGACAUAAGGACAUUAUCCUUUAAAUAGGCCAUGCCUUCAGUGAGCUAAAUGCAUUGAAAGGGAAGGAAUGUGUACCUAUGAAAUGAUGGAAGUGACCACUUGAAGAAGUAGAUUUUAGGCUGGGAUGUGAAGCACCAGGUUGGGCAGGGACAGAGCUCUCCAGGCCUGGGGAAGGGGGCACUGGAGGGAGCCUGGCACGGACAGUGCCCAGAAGACUGACUAGUAUGGCUGAGGCAUAGAGGGAGAGGGGAGAGACGUGAAAACCGUCUGCAUAGGAUAGGCAAGAGCCAGGCCAUGCCUAGGGCCUUUCUUUUAGUUUUGUGUUAAGGACAGCUGGAGGAAUUUUUGUUUUACUCUGUUUUUGUUUGUGUGUGGGAAGGGGCUUGAAUUGAUUGCCUUUCCAUACUGAAAGUCUCACUCAUCUUUGGGAAGGAGAUGAGAAGGGGCUGGGGUAAGUGAGAGCAGAGCACAAGCUGGAAAGGCAGGAGGCCCCUAUGUAGUCCAGGGGUGAGGACCCAGGACUUGAAUGGUGGUACUCGAAAUAGUGAGAAAAUAAAAUAAGACUAGUGCUCAAAGCCAACAUUGAUUGCUCACAUCAGCUUUACACUCAUUAACUUGUUUAAUCUUGAGAACCAUCCUUUUAAGCCUUAUUGCUACAAUUUUGCAGAUGAAAAAACAAUAACUUGUCCUAAUUCUCAGAGCUAGAAAAUGCUCAAGAUGGGAUUCCAUCUCAUCUUGUCUGAUGCCAGUAACCAUGAGCUUAUCACUAUACACUCAGUAUGAAUUUAGUGAUUUAAAAAAAAGAAAAAAAAAAAAUAAGGUCAGGAAUGCAUCCCCUAAACAAACCACUCUAAUGAUGUGAUAUUGUUGGAGGACACAUCUAGAAAGUAGAGUUCCCAAAUUUUUACUGUAUCAUUCUAGUAUUUGCUGACAGAAAAGAGGGCAAUUUGUGACUGUCAAUAGACUGCCUAUGAUUAUUUUUGAGUUGAUACGCUGAUAAGACCUAAUGCCUUUCUGGGGGAAGAAAAAAAGUCAGUCUACAAAGUACACUCCACUGCACAGUUGCUGAUACAUUAUUUUUAAAGAAGUUAUCUUGAGUUGGGUUAUAAACACCUUGGUGGAACAUGCAUGACUCACAUUUUGUGGAGUGAUAGAAAAGCUUCCUGGGAGUACAACUCCAAAUCAGCUUCCACAUCUCAUUUCUUAUUGGAAAACAAAAUAAAUUUGAUUUAUGAAAGCUGGUUUCACCCACUGCAGGAAAAGUAUGACUUUGCCAAAGGCCAAUAGUGAAGUCUUUUAGUAUUUGUGGUGGGUAAAUUUCGGUAAGGAGUCAAAAAUUCACAAAAAUCAUCAGAAUUUGAAUUUGAUAAGAAUUUCUUGGGUUGUUCAGGCACAAGGUAUGGUACCUCCUCAUGAUUGUUUUGGUUGAAGGUGCAAGUUCCAUGAAAUGGCUAAGAACUCACUGUACUCCAGGCCCAGUCUUUUCAGGAGUGCUUGACUGAAUGCCACAAACCCAGAGGACAAGCUUUGCCUCUAGACACAGGGAAAACAGUGCUCAGCAUUUGAGCUGUGCCUGGGAAAAUGUCUGGAGUCUGAGUGGGAGAAGUUACAGUCUCCUAAAUUAGAAAUUAAAACUGUCAGAGCAAAAUGAAACAACAUUUAUUAAAUGGUCACAAAAUAUAAUACUGUGUCAGCUUCAUUAAUUGCUGGAUUUGUUGUUCAUAACAAUUUCACUACAUUGGAAAAUAGUUUGUAGAUGAGAUGCUCUUAACUGAAAAUUCCUGGAUAUAUAUGAUGAGUGUUGAGAAAUCACAGUGUAUUUUCUUUUAUGUAAAACAAUUUUUUUAAAUUUUUAUUUUUGAGAGAGAGAGAGAGAGAGAGCAUGAGCAGGGGAGGGGCAGAGUGAGAGAGGGAGUCACAGAAUCUGAAACAGGCUCCAGGCUCUGAGCUGUCAGCCCAGAGCCUGACACAGGGCUCAAACUCACGAACCGUGAGAUCAUGACCUGAGCUGAAGUCAGACGCUUAACUGACUGAGCCACCCAGGCGCCCUGAAAUCACAGCAUAUUUUAAAUUAAUUACUUUAGCCGAAUAAUUUCAAAAGCAAAAUUAUAAAAUUCUUCAUAGCAAAAUAAUUAAAUGUGGGAUGUGUACACAUUUUAACAUAUCUGAAGUGAUGUACAAGUAAGAGCGUUUAGAGAAUAUGAAGGUCUUAGUAUAGCAAUAGGUCUUAUACAGUUAUGUUCGCCCCAAACAUGCUUGUCAGGGGCGCCUGACCUAUCUCUUGUCCUCCAUCCAGGUCUGGGCUUCAGUUCCAAACUAUACCCUGGGAAUCUUGAUAGGACUGGUGUCAGGAUCUCUCACAUGGGCUGAGUUCUUCUGGUGGAUCUCAAGGCUCUUCCAGCUCUAUGUUCACUCCUGAGACUAAAGGCUGCUCUGGAGAAAGCCUGCUGGUAUAGUCUGGUCUGUACCUCCUGAGAUAGCUUGAAGGGUGUCUUAAAGGACACAUCACCCUUUCUUCUUCCAGAGAUGACCUGGAACCAGGCUUCCCCCAAGGCCUCCUGAGGGCUGGGUGUGUGGUGUGAAGGGAGGUAUCUUCACUCCCAGCUCCUUGGCUUUGCCUUUGGGAGAACAGGAGUAAAGGAAAGACUUUUGAUGUCACUGCUUUCCCUUGAGAAUACCUUAAAACAAUAAUAUGUGUCCUGACAGGUAGUGACUAUCAUGCCAACUCUAUUUUACAGUAAUCUGUUUCCAUACUGCUACUCAAAAAACAUGCGAUCUGAACUUUGACUAGGAGGGACAGUCCCCAGUAAUAGCCACAGUUGGGUGAUAUUGACAUAAUCGUGAUGGUGGAAGGAUUUAGAAACCUGGUAGGUUUUCUCCCGUGGCCUUUCUCGGGUCUUUACAGUGAGCUUAUUUAUUUAUCUCACGAGUGUCUCAUCCCCAGCACUGCAAACUCUGCAGGAAAUGAUCUGGAAGGGCCAGAUAUUGUGUUAUGUUUAAGGUCAUGGAGAAAAAACAGUGGCAACCUCCCAAAGAAAAGACAGGCUUCUGAGUCUGGAUGUGUUGGGUCAGCAGGGUCACUGUUGAACCCCCCCAGGCCAACCAUUACAGGAAACAGAAUUAUAAGCCUGUCUUACUAGGAGGGAAUGGACCUCAGAAGCCUGAUUUCUAUAUUCCCCUUGACAUUUAAAAAAAAACUCUGCUCUUGUGCCAGAGGAGAGUGAAGAAAAUUUUAAAAGGAGAAAAAUGUUUGUUUUAAGGCUUGCUCAGUAAUCCACUUAUGCAGUUUACAUUAAAGAACCUUUCAUGUAAACAUCAUUAAUUAUGUAGUAUAAGAGCCAAAUAAAAAUGCUAAAAAAUAAAAGUAAUUGUGGGAUAAAUUAGUAUAGCUUGAGUGCACAUAUAUUAUGCAGACACUCUAGACUUUUAUAUUUUAUUGAGGGAGGUGGAUUUGUGAUUUUCUAUGUUUGAGCUGCUAGGAUGGAACCAACAGAAGUGACAUUUUACAGAUGGAUACCAAAGCUGUUAAAGUUUAAACUCAUACUGGCAAUGAGACUGUGCUUUUUAACAAGAGUCCUUGACUUAUGCCUCCUCUCUAAAUCUGUCUAGAAAAGGGGCGCCUGGGUGGCUCAGUCGAUUAAGUGUCCGACUGGGCUCAGGUCAUGAUCUCGUGGUUCGUGAGUUCGAGCCCUGCAUCAGGCUCUGUGCUGACAGCCCGGAACCCGGAGCCUGGAGCCUGCUUCGGAUUCUGUGUCUCCCUCUCUCUCUGCCCCUCCCCCGUUCAUGCUCUGUCUCUCUCCGUCUCAAAAAUAAGUAAAUGUUAAGUCUGUCUAGAAGAGAUUCUGGGCAGAGAUGUGGAUUGAGUAUCCCAUGGAUUUCCCCAGAAGGUUUUUUGUUUUUUGUUUUUUUUUGUUUUUUUUUUUCAAUGUUUAUUUAUUUUUGGGACAGAGAGAGACAGAGCAUGAACGGGGGAGGGGCAGAGAGAGAGGGAGACACAGAAUCGGAAACAGGCUCCAGGCUCCGAGCCAUCAGCCCGGAGCCCGACGCGGGGCUCGAACUCACGGACCGCGAGAUCGUGACCUGGCUGAAGUCGGACGCUUAACCGACUGCGCCACCCAGGCGCCCCCCCAGAAGGGUUUUUUNAGCCCAAGGGGACGUAAACGAUGGUUUGCGGGUGACAGGAGUCCCUCUCCCUCUCUUCCCCCCACCCUGCCUGUCUCCACGUCACCCCUGUGCCACUCACAGGCCCCUCCGCACCCCUGUCUCCACCUGCUCCGUUCCUGUCCUCUUCCUGGUCCGAGUUGGUGGCAAAGUCCACCGCAUAGCGGACAGAGGGCUUGCAGCUUCCUUUCUCAUGGAAAUUCUCCUUUGCUGUGUCCCUCUUGCCUUUAAUAUCCUUACUUUUGGAUAAUAAUUAUAGCUUCGGACAUAGGUUUUUUUUUUUUUUAAUUUUUUUUUUCAACGUUUAUUUAUUUUUGGGACAGAGAGAGACAGAGCAUGAACGGGGGAGGGGCAGAGAGAGAGGGAGACACAGAAUCGGAAACAGGCUCCAGGCUCCGAGCCAUCAGCCCGGAGCCCGACGCGGGGCUCGAACUCACGGACCGCGAGAUCGUGACCUGGCUGAAGUCGGACGCUUAACCGACUGCGCCACCCAGGCGCCCCCCCAGAAGGUUUUUUGGAGCAGGACCAUGAUUAUCUUCUCCAAAAUCAGUAGCCUCCGUCGUACAGUCAAGUGCAAUAACAGAAAACUGCUUGUGUCUGUGUUAAAGGAAGUGAAUUGUGUGAAGAAGGGCAGGGACAGAAGCUGUUGAGGAAAUAUGGCACAGAGACCGUGGAGUAGCGAUGACACUAUGCAUUUGUAUCACCUUUUGUAGUAUUUCAGAAGUCUUCAUGUACGUUAUGAAAAUUAAUCCUUUACAAUAAUUUUGUAAACUAGGUAGGGUAUGUAUAUUUUUACCAACCUCAUUUGACAGACAAGGAAAUUGAAGCUUAGGGAGGGAAGUCACAAUGAAACAGGGAUUGGAAAGCACUGCAUAAGUUCUAUCGUUUUUUUCUACUACCACAUUCAUAUUACUUUUUAAACAUAAAUGAAAAAAAACAUGGUGUAGUUCAUAGCAAUAUUUUGUGCUAUGUGGGAUCUUUUAAGAACAUGUGAGUGUAUUUACAUCAUUUCCUCAGGGAAAGUUUUGUUUUACCUAGAAAAGCAGGAAAUGGAGUUGAAAUGGGAAAAGUUUUUUCAUUUUUAUGGAUUAAACCCAUCUGUUAUUUUCACUAAGCCUCCUAUCAUGGAGGACGAUAGAUUUCUUACAACAUAAAGAGAUGAGAAAAGAGGAAAAUGUGUUUCCUUUGUUCUCUGGUUCAGGUUCAUACCCAUCCAUGGAGUCCUGUUCAGAUAAAACAGGGCAGUCAGUUUACCCAUCAGAAAGAAAAGACACUGCUGUCCUCAGAUAUGCCCCAACACUCUGGACAGUCUUGCACAGAAUUAAAGUUAACACUUACCGCUCUGAGGAAUUCUGAGGGAUAAUUUUUUUUUUUUUUCACUGCUUCGGGCAUCUUUCAAUACUAUGCUUGAAUAUUUUGCUAUAUUUUACAUCUGCACAAGACAAAAUUAAGCAAAAUUAUCUUUCACUUCUUUAUUCAGAAUAGUGCUUACUGAGUAUGUACCUUGUGGCAGUAGGAGUUCAACUCUGGGGUUGAAUCUAACAGACACGCUUCUUGUUGUAAUGGAAUUCACCAUCAAGGGGGGGAGAUGAAUAUGAAUCACAUGAUCACAACAGUAAAUACAUACUGUAAGAGGCCUCUGCUCUGGUGAGAACAGGACUAGUAGAUGAUUAGGUAAUUGGAAAAUGCAGUUAAAGUGGGAAAUCAUUAAAUAUGUGUGUGUGUGUGUGUGUGUGUGUGUAUGUACAUAUACAUUUAACCCUUGAAUAACAAGGGGGCCAGGGGCACCCACACCUCAUAAAUCCAUGUAUAACUUUUUGACUCCCCCCAAACUUAACUAAUUUAUGGCCUACUGUUGAUUGGAAGCCUUGUUGAUAACAUAAAAAUGGAUGGACACAUAUUUUGUAUGUUAUAUGUAUUAUAUACUGUAUUCUUACAACGAAGCAAUCUAGAGGAAAGAAAAUGUUAUUAAGAAAAUCACAAGGGGCUGGCACCUGGGUGGCUCAUUUGGUUAAGCUCAGGUCAUGAUCUCCCAGUCGGUGAGUUGGAGCCCCACAUUGGGCUUUUUGUUGUCAGCGUGGAGCCUGCUUCAGAUCCUCUUGCUUUCACUCUCUGCCCCCCACUUGUACUUUAUCUCUCUCAAAAAUAAAUGAACAUUAAAAAAAAAAAGGAAAUCACAAGGAAGAGAGAAUACAUUUACAGUACUUCACUGUGUUGAAAAAAUAUCUGUGUAUAAGUAGACCCACCCAGUUCAAACCUGUGCUGUUCAAGAAGGGUCAGAUGUGUAUUUAUAUACACAUACACAUAAGUAUACGUAUACAUUCAUAUAUAUAUACAUAUAUACAUUUAUAUAUGUGUGUGUAUACAUAUAUGUGUGUAUACACAUUGUAAAUGUAUGUGUGUGUAUAUAUGUAUAUAUGUGUGUGUGUGUGUGUGUAUAUAUAUGUAAAACUUUUAUUUUUUACUUAAAAUACAUAAAUGAACAUUUAUUUGCCAAAUUUGAUAGGGUCACCCUUCUUGCAUACAGCCUACUCAAAUGCAUAUCAUCUACAAUUUUCAGUUUCAGAUACUUUAAUAUAGAGGGAGAACUUAAAGACACUUGCAAAAUAAUUUGAGUUCAUUUAAAUUUUUAUUAUUUUUUUCCUCUGGUCCUUUACACUUGUCUUACCUAUCACUAAUCUAAGAGCAAUUUCCUCCCAGCUUUUUCAAGUCUUUUCAAAGCGUUUAACAUUUUUUUUUUUAGUUUAUUUAUUUAUUUUUGAGAGAGAGCACAAGCAGAAGGGGGGGGGGAGAGAGAGAAAGAGGGAGACACAGAAUCUGAAGCAGGCUUCAGGCUCAGAGCUGUCAGUGUAGAGCCUGAUGUGGGGCUUGAACCCAUAAACUCUGAGAUCAUGACGUGAGCCAAAGUUGGAUGCUUAACCGACUGAGCCAUGCAGGCACCCUGUAACUUAGUUUUCAUAGAAAUGGCAACUCUCUUUUUAUGUUCAUAUUUGAUUAGUUGAUGUGAUAUUUAAUUAAACUACAUAAUUAUAGUCAGCAAGUACAACUGCCGUAAACAGGUUAGGGAACAAAAACAACCACUCUCAGUUGGUGGGGAUAGAAGGGAUGGGGGUAGUAGGCUACAGAAGCCACAAGCAUCUAUCAUGCUUUGGGCCAUCAGUCAAUACGUUUUACAGAUGGAUUUGAAAACGUCAGUAAAUUCAACCCUCUCCUCACCCCCACCCCCCCCCCACCCCCAGCUCAAUCGAAAGAGUUUCUAUUGUAAUUAAAAACUAGUAAACAUUACUAAGGAAAAGCAGUGGGUGCCAUAAAGGUCUGUAAUUGGGGAAUGUGACUCAGUCCCAGGGCAGCAGGAGAGGCCUCUCACGGGAAAUUACAGUUGAGCUGCGAUCAGAGAGUAAUUAGGCAUUUGCUCAAAGAGGGGCUGGGACAGGGGUCUGGAGAAAGGAGUUCCAGGCAGCAGGAGCAGUAGAGUCCAUGCUGUGUGGAAAAUAAGGAACUGAAAGAGGCCAGUAUGAUCAACGCAAAGAGCGGAAGUGGGAGAGCAGUCCGGGAUGAGGCAGAGGGAAGGAGAUGCCUGUUCACACCAGCUUUGCAGGCUCUGACAAGCAUGCAGGUCUUCGUCCCUACUCAUACCAGAAAGCUGUCAAUGAUUACGAAGCAAAAGGGUCUGCAGCAGCUAGUUUGUUUUGACCCCUAAAUCUAAUGGGGGCACUUGGAUUGUUUUUAUAAUCUAAAUACAUUAUAGCUAGAGGAGAAAACAAUAUUUUCAUGACUGCUGGCACCUUUGGGAGGGAGCUGUCCUUGAAUAAGAAAAUACAUUCAUUAGCUGCCCACGGGUCAAAGUUGGGUAGGCGGCAAGAUAAUAAAAGAGAUGCUAAGUAUCCCUGCCGAGAAUGUGGGAGGGAAAGAGAGAGAAGGGUGGGGGGAAGGUGUUGUAUUAUUUUCCUAGGGCUGAGGUAACAAAAUACCACAAACUGGUGUGGGGGGGGCUUAAGAUAACAGACAUUUAUUCUGCCGCAGUAUUGGAGGUGAGACAUGUGAAAUCGGUGUCAGCAGGGCCAUGUUCUCUCAUGGAGCUCUGGGUAGAAUCUGCCUGCGCCUUUUCCUAGUUUCUGGCAGUGGCUGGAGAUCUGUGGUGUUCCUUGGCUUGCGGCUGCAGACUGCAUCCCUUGAAUCUCUACCCUGUGGUCUUAAGGCAUUCUCCCUGUGUGCCUUUGUGCCCCUUCUUUACUUAUAAGGACCCUAGUCAAAUUGGAUCAGUCCCACCCUUAAUGACGCCAUCUUAACUUGAUUACGUCUGCAUAGACUCUAUUUCUUUCUUUCUUUUUUUUUAAGUUUAUUUAUUUUGAGAGAGAGAGAGAGAGAGAAUGAGAGAGAAUCCCAAGCAGGUUGUGCACUGGCAGUGCAGAGCCUGACUCAGGGCUCGAACUCAAGAAUCGUGAGAUCAUGACCUGGGUCGAAACCAAGAGUCAGACGCUUAACCAACUGAGCUACCCAGGCUCCCCAAGACUCUAUUUCUAAAGACGGUCACGUCUGCAGAUGGUGGGGGUUUGGGCUCAAAUAUAUCUUUUUGAGGGAUAUAAUUCAACCCAUAACAGGUGUGAAGGGAGAGUAGUGAGAAGAAUAAGCAAAACCGUGGGAGCUUAAAUGGUGAGGUUGGCUACACCCACUAAGAAAUUGCUGAUAGCUAAGCGGUUCUCAAGUGCUUUGCUUACAGUGUAAGAUGUGACAGCCUGCAAAACGUUUCCCCCAUCACAGCCAUGUGGUGGCUCCCGCCUUUUCAGUGAAGUUUCUGCUAGCAAAAACUUGUUGGCAGAGGUGGUAAAGGUGAGGGGACAAGUGACAAGUGGAGUCUCUGAGAAGGAUUCGGGUUCUAUGUUAGGGCUACUAACAUAAAAAGUGUGAUCACAGGAAGUCUCAGAGUGAACAUCAGUUUGGUAGAGGCUGAAAAGAGUAAUUUUGUGACUGUAAAACCCUCUCUCUAACCCAGAUAUUUAGAGAUAUAUUGGAUUUCCACAGUCUCUAGCCUGGGGACUUGGGUCAACCUUCUCUCCAACUUGUUGGGAUAGGACCAAGGUUGCAAAUACAAUUAUUAUUAAAAAUCUACCCUGCAAUUUUUCUAUCAUCCUUUUUAGGGUACCGUGCAUGAUUUUGGCCAAUCAUAAGAGUGUUUGUGUGUGUUUUUUUAAAUGUUUAUUUAUUUUUGAGAGAGAGAGAGAGUGUGCAUGCAUGCACACAGCUGUGAUGACAGCAGAGAGCCCGAUGCAGGGCUCAAACUCAGGAACCGUGAGAUCAUGACCUGAGCCAAAGUCAGACGCUCAACCGACUGAGCCACCCAGGCUCUCCAAGUGUUUGCAAUUUACUUUUAAAAUAGUGAAAAAUCCUGUGUUCUGUAUCUCUUGCCCUACCAUCUUGUAAAUCUGCGCAUUCCAAAUAGAUGACCACUUUGAUGGCAGGAGGAUGUUCUCUGAAGUUCAGUUUUCGCUUCUUGUCAAUCUCCUGCUGCACUUCGUAGAAAACCCUUGUGAUGCGUUUCUUUACUAGCAGAAGCUCUUACGUGCCGCUCCCUCAGGUUUGCGCCCGGCUCUCAAAACGAAGGGAAUGAUUUCCUGUAGUGAGUCCAGAUGUUGUGUUCAGCACUAUUGCAAUUAGCCAUCAAGUCUGAGAGCUGUAUGAAAUUACGUCUGUCUUUGAGGCCUGGGAGGGAAGACGAUUUGGUAAUAGUUUAACGUCCGUUGGGUGAAAUCGUUGACACUGGGGAAGAACUACUGCCUCCAUGAACGAGGAUCUUUCGCGGCACCUUUUCGGUUCGUUUCUGCGCUCCAUUUACAUGGGUGUUUAACACGAAUGUGCUUUUAAAACAUGUAACAAUUUCCUGAAAACCUAAGUAACUGGCAAAUGGUUAGAAUAAUUAAUAAGGCAGGUGUUUUUGUGUUUCGUCUUCUGUACGCAGCUUGGAGAGAAUGGGAACAAUUUCAGCUGGCAAAGGUAUCGUCUGUGGCCAGUAUGUACUGCCUCUGUGGAAGCUUCCACCCGUACUGCAGGCACUUCACGGGCACUGAGACUGCUCAGGCAAAAUGAAGCAAAAAGCAGAGCAAUUACCCAGAGACUAUGAAUACAAUACGAUGUUGUGUUUGGACAUUUAGGCAAGAAAUCUUCAGGGUCUUCUCCCGCUUUGAGAAUCCUGCCUGGGUUGUUGGUUGGAGAAGCUGGAGAAUGUUCUUCUUUAGCCCUGAAGGAGUUGGCUGACCCCUCCAUCCCCCCCACAGUAAGCCAGAGAAAUUGUGUUCUCUAGCUGAUAAGGGCAGACGGGCCACCUUGGUAAACUUGACAGUCAUGCUCUUGAGCCUUGGAGGACCACCUGGUAUCCCGUUAAACCAAGCCAUAUCUGCAUGACUCCUGCCUGCUGAGGAAGGGUGUCUGCCCCAGAGAAGGCACUCAUGGCAGGGCCAGGAGUCCUGAGACGACCAGAGAAUGCUGGCAGAAUGGCCUGUGAGGUUCAACCCGAGGCCUCCUGCCAUGUUGCUGGGCUCCCUGGCUCUGUAUGGUCUUUGUUCCCGUAAUUCCUGUGUGGGUUUCUAUACCCACAAUUUCUGCUCUGCCCUUAUUAAGUCCUUAUAACAACCCUUUAAACACAGUAUUUCAGCUGAUGUCACAGGUGCCAUUCUUCUGUGAUACCCACAUUUGGACCACCCCUUAAGGCCACGACCGUCUUCUCAUAGCUCUAUACAAACUCUUGAUGGCUGCCUCACAUUAAAAACAUUAAAGCAGAGGGGGAAAAAAAAAGAAAUCUCAGCUUAACCUAGCCAUAUAAACCACCCAUUUGUGCUAGUUACUCUGCAGGUAUAAAGCAUUCUUAACACUUAAACACUUCAUUCUGUUAAUAGCAGUAAGUUGGCCAAAAUUCCAAAGAAACUUCUUGAAAUGGUAAUCAAUUUUAAGGGAUUCUUUAUAAAAUCGAGAGUGUUAGCUACUUUCUGGGGAAAAGGAAGACUAAAGGAUAAUAAGACUUUGGCAGAUAGGAAGUAUGUGGGCAUCAGUUAUUCUUAUUAGUUAGAGAGACAAGACAGGAGUAAUUGGCAUAAGCUAGAUGGAAUAAAAGACAUUUAAUAUAAGGAAAAUCUCAUUAUAAGGACAAGAAAACUUUGGCAUUGCCCUCUUGUACUGCUGGUGACAAUUCAAUUAUAGGAUUGUCAUAUUUCUUAUUUUGUAAUUGUUAAUUGGUUAAGGCAUAGGACAUCUUUGUGAAAUUUCUCUUUCUUCUUCAGUGUGUGUGUGUGUGUGUGUGUGUGUGAAAAUGAAGAAACAGAGACACAGCAGUGACUUAUGUUACUAGCUCCAUUCCUCUAGGGAAAGCUCACAACUCAGAAUUACUCUUUCCUUCCACAGUGGAGAGGUAGAUGGUCGCUUUGAAGACAUCUCUUUCCAGCUUUUACCUACCAGGGUCUAAUUCUGGGGUUAUUUGUGGCUUCCUGGUUUCACACUGGUCUCCUUUCUCUUCCUCACUGACUGUCACAUAGAUGCAGAUGGUGAGACAGAAAAUCCAAUGAAAUUGUAUUGUCAGUUCAUGUUUCGCUGUAUUUUCUCUGCUCGUCACCUGUUUUAAAAGCUUAUCUGUUUGUAUGUCAUCUCUUAUAGCUUGCUUGGAUUCUCCUUUCCUCUUGGUCUGGGGGAAGGGCAGGGGGACACAGAGAGAGAGAGGGAGAGAGAGGUGUUUAAAGUUCCCUGCCAUCUGACGUCACCCGUGCUGCUGCAGGUGAUUUACAUGCCACAUGGUCUCCACCGUCUGUGUGCUGUAACUCGGUAAUUCAGUGGUAGCUUGACCUUCAACAGCUGCUGAACCUCCUCAUCUUUGCACAGGGGUAGAGGAGGCCAUUAUUGCAAGGAAAGAACAUGUGGCUUUCCAAAUGGCAUGAAAUACAUCUAUUGCGACCAGAUGAAUUACAUAUUCAUGAAAACUGUGUAACGGAAGACUACUCCGCUUGCCAGGCAGUCACCUUGGCCGAGCGCAAGGCUCGGUAAACAAUGCAAAGCUCUGGCUCCCUCAUUUAUUUACCUUGCCAGUCAACGUGCACAGCGCUGGGGCAGGUUUCUACGACCAGCCACGAGAGGAAAGCUGGGAAGAGCUCUGCGUUUCCAAGGAAAACUGAAUUCCAUGAUGCUUACAUUUUUAUUUUGUAUCAACAAAUAUUGAUUGGAUGUCCAUUAUUCUAACAGUAUCCGAACAAAAUUGUAAUACUGUAUUAUUAGGAAAGUUUCUGCAAAUGCUGGGAAGCUUCCCCCCCCCCCAUUAAAUAAAUAUCCAAUUAGUGUGUGUAAAACGACUCCCACCAAGAUGAUGAGUUUUGAUGUUUGUGUUUCUUAUUAAUUCCUGACUUACUAGUAAAGGAUCAUGGUAAUUAUCCCUAUUUUGCAGAUGGCAAAAAUGAAGCCAGAGGUGUUAAGUGACAUCCCAGGAACACUGUAAGUGGCAGAGCUAGGAAGAACAUUGCUGUGUCUCGACUCCAAGUUCCUAUUUACUCCACCAGAACACUGCACUCGUGUGGAUUUGACUUUACUGUCACCAUGUCAGUAAUGAUGACAACCCAAAAGGUGGUGACAUUUAAAAUGCUGUCCUUGGUCCUAUUCAUAGCUCGUCCGGGACGUACUUCCAAUGCUGGUUAGGUUCACGCACAUGCUGAGCCUCCUAGCUGCAGCUGUUCCCCUUCUCCACCCUGUGAUCUGUCCAUCUUUACAUUCUCCGCUGGGCUGGGUGUGCUAGUUGGGCACACUCACACCUGUUCACACCUUCUCUCAGUGCUCCUGGACUGCUAAAGCUACAGAGAGACUCUCUUGCAGUUAGGGGUCCAGAUAUGAUUUCAGGCUCUGCUAAUCAGGUGGAUUUAUGUAAGACUUAAGUUCAGAACUGAGUUAAAUGGCAAGAGCUAAGGUGGUCUGUUAGACCUUUAUCGAUCUAUCUAUCUAUUAAUUAUCUAUCAUCUAUCUAUCAAUCGUCUGUCUAUCUUUCUGUCUACCUACCUACCUACCUACCUACCUGCCUAUCUUUCUAUCUAUCUCCCAGUAAGGAUUUAGCAGGAAUGAACAAUUGUCAUCUCUGGAGAGCUGCUAAUGAGGUGCAUUUCUGGAGCCAGCAUUGCAUUGGGGUCUUUGGAUUCCUGUUUCCUGAAGGUGGCCAAGAGGGCAGCCCCCCCUGGGGUGCAGUUCUGCAGUAUCCUUCUAGGACUGCUGUCCAGGCUCAGCAUGGACCCAGUGCUCCUCCUGACCUUUCCAUGAUUUUGUUAGCACCUAGUUCCCUGUGUUAAAUCUCUUGCUCCUUAAACAAGAUAGUGUAGUUUCUCUGAUCUGUAGCUGACUCCUGACUCAUUCGCUGCUUAAAGAUUACCUGUGAGCCUGCUGCAUGCUGACUCAGUCUGUGUUUUAUCACAUCGUAUUGCAUUUACAUUGUUCUGUGUGUGUGUGUGUGUGUGUGUGUGUGUGUGUGUGUGUGUGCGCGCGCGCACGCGUGCGCUCAUGAGCACGCGCGUGCUCAUGAGCACGCGCAUGUGUGUCUCUUUCUCCUUCCCGCUCCGCCCUAGUCCUCAGACUCUGAGGUUAUUCAUCUUUUAGUCCUGCUCUGGGUGGGAUAAAGCCUGGCACAUAAUAUUCACUUAAGAGAUGUUUGUUCGAAUAAAUAGAUGGAUGACUAAACGCAUAGAACCAAGUAUCCUGUGAUGCUUAGUUCACAGGAGAAUGAAAACCUUGUUGAAAAUGCAGUUUUAUUUCAUACAUAUGCCAUUAGUGUAUUUUAUUUAAUAAAAAUGUAGAAAGGCACACACUUUUAGCUUGAUAUUAAUCAUUACCUUUUACUUAAACAGUCAAAUGGGAUUUGCUGCUCAGCUGUUAAAUAUUUUGCUGUCCCUGGAAAACCAGCAAUGUGCAUUGAUGAAUGUGAGCCUUGUGUCUUACCUCCUGUGUCCUACCCAUUACAUUUCUUCCUGGGUAAAAUCUGAACAGGUGCUGUUAGAUGCCUCAUUAACUGCAUGGAGCUACAGAAAUUCUGGGUGAGAUGAUCCCUCACCAGAAACUAAGCCCUGCGUUUAUUAAACACUGCCCUGGACUUAAAGCAUCGUGAUUCUUUCUGUGUUACCAUUGGUGACAGACACUGGCUUAAGGUGCCAAGAGCUUGAAUUGCUGUUAUCUCUUAUCUUUUCUCUGAUCCUCCCUUCUUUCCAUCAUGCAGCCUGCUCUCUACCAUUUAUCUGUCUGUUUCAUUUCUCCAUUAAUAUUUAUUAAGUGCCUACAGGUUGCAUAAUAAUAAUAUUAUAUUAUUAUUAUUAUUAUUAUCUUUUAAGCUACUUAAAAGGCUUUAACAAUUUGUAACUCAUUUAAUUCUUGCUAAAACUUUCUCAGGUUGGAAGGGCAGGCAUUCAUAUUCUCAUGCCACUGAUGAGCGUAGAAAGAUGUAGAAAGGGUAAGUGUCCUGCUAAAACUGAUGUAGUAGAACUGGGCCUAGGUGGUACCAUCUGCCCUGACUCUAGUUCACUGUUUGUCUCCAUCCCAUAUUUCUUACGACAUGAAACAAGACUAAAGAGAGACACAAAGUAGACAAUAUCAAAUCUUCAGGGCUUUGCACUGUAGACCAGUAUAUUUUAUACGUGAAGACACAGGGAAUGUCUUGAUGAAGGUUGGAAUAUGCUUCCACUCAAUUAUGAAAGGUAUUUUUAUUAUCAAGGAAUGUAUGUACUGCAUCUACAUGAAGCACCCAAAUGGUGAGAGCAUGUGAGCCUGAGCUGGCAAUGAUGAAUCCCUUUGGCCUUAAUGAUGCUACUGCAGCAGCAAUCUGAGGAGGUCACCCACACACAGCAUCCUGACCUGGUCUGAUGACAUAGGGGAUAUUAAGCAACAUUUCCAAGUAGGAGAGCAGCCAGGAAGGGGAAGUGGGAUGGCAGGAUAUCCCAGAGAACAAGUCAAAUGGGGAUCGAUUGAAGGGUCUAUGGAGGAGCAGGGGCGGGGUGGGGGGGGGAAUGGGAGAGGAGACGCUGUGUAUCAUUUUCUGUGUGACACCAGAGAGCAAAAUAAUCACACAAGGUAGAAUGACAGGGACAUAGGAGAAGACAUUUUCUGACCAUCACAGAACUCUAAACUGAGGUGGGCUGCCCUGGGAGGAAUAAGCUGUUUGUCAUUAGAAAGGUUCAAGAAGAUGACCAUCUAUCAGGGCUCUGGUAAGGGAUCCUCCCUUGUGGGGAGAUCAGAUAGUCAGCUGGUUGUCAGACUAAUGCAGGCUGGGAGCUGGACGAGAAGCAGGCCUAACUGGAGACUCUGAUUCAGCAGCUCUGGGUGCAAUCUGGAGAAUCUCUGUCGGGAAACCACUGGACCAGAUCCCUGGACUCCACAGUGGAGGGCCGAAGAAGGAGGACAUUUCCUUCACAUUUACAUUUUAUCUAAAAGGAAAAAAAAAAGCAGGAGCAGAAGAAGAAAACUUACUAAUAUUUAGUGUCUAGGGAAGCGCACAAUCUCUGAUCUGUCUGUGUGUCUGAUGUGUCCCAUCUGAUACUGCAGUGAGCAGGAGCCCUUCAACACUGAAGCUCGCGGCCAUGCCUUCCUUCGUUCAUCCACACUGGCAUGUUUCCAUAUAUUGUAGUUGAUUGUGCCCAGUUAGAGAAAUGUAUGGACUGUGUUAUCUUAAAUAAUAGAAUUGCAAAUAGCAGAAGCUUUAUAGUAUUUUGAAUGAAAUGGGGAAUAACGAUGACAACUUUUUUGUGUCACAGAGAAGUUUAUGGGCAUUCUUAGGUCAAAAUAAUUAAAGCAUAGUCAAAAUUGUACAUUUUUCUUUUACAAAAAUGUGUCCAAUUAUACUGACCUCCUGUGAUGACAAGUAGCUGUUGGUAGUAGGGCUCUUGGCAGAAAUUUGUGAGAAACUAAACAUACUCGGGGUGCCUGUCUGACUCAGUCAGUAGAGCAUGCGACUCUUUUUUUUUUUUUUUUAAUUUUUUUUUUCAACGUUUUUUUUAUUUAUUUUUGGGACAGAGAGAGACAGAGCAUGAACGGGGGAGGGGCAGAGAGAGAGGGAGACACAGAAUGGGAAACAGGCUCCAGGCUCCGAGCCAUCAGCCCAGAGCCUGACGCGGGGCUCGAACUCACGGACCGCGAGAUCGUGACCUGGCUGAAGUCGGACGCUUAACCGACUGCGCCACCCAGGCGCCCUGCAUGCGACUCUUGAUCUCAGGGUCAUGGGUUCGAGACCCACGUUGGGCGUGGAGCCUAUUAAAAAAAAAACUAAAUGCACUUAGUAUGUUUCACUUAUAUAAAGUUUAGUAUGAACCAGGCAUUGUUCUGUUUUAUAUGGGUUAAGUUAAUGACUCUUCAUGCAGUCUUUGAUAGUAGGAACUAACUAUACUUGACAGAUGAGGAAACUGAGGCACAGAAAGGUGAAGUGACUUCCUUAAGAUCACUCAGUUAGUCAGUGAAAGAGUGGGGUUUAAGUGAAAGCUUUUAAUCAGUCAACUAAUAUAACUGACUCCUCUGAAAAUAUGAAAUCAGUUACUUUUUCAAAGGAACUUCUGCUAUGGAGAAUGCAUUCUAAAAAUAAUGGCUGGAAACGUUUGCAUCAUUAAUGUUAUUUUUGUUGCCAAAGCUGUAGAAGUUUGUAAACUUUAAAAAAGGUAUAACAUCUCAAACUUAGGAAACAUAGGAAUAGAAUUUCAAAACUGAUUUAAAAACGAAGGAUUCUGUGUAUUUUGAACUCCUUUAUUAAAUAUAUAAAAGUAUAGUAAAUUCCAAUUUGUUGACAAGAACAAAUGACAGAGCAGGAAAAAAACUGAAAUUGACUAGCAGAUUUCUACAAACCCUUUUGCAUAAUUGGUGGAUGAUUUAAAAAAUAAGUUUCAUGAGGGGAGCUCCUGGCUGGCUCAGUCAGUAGAGUAUGCCACUCUUGAUCUUGGGGUUGUGAGUUUGAGCCCCACAUUGGGUGUAGAGAUUACUUAAAAAAGAAAAAGUUUCCAUGAUUUACUAGGCACGACCAGCAAUGCAUCAUCCCCCCCCACCUGCCCCAUUUGGAUGGAUGUAUUUUUGAGAAGCAUCUUUCCAAGCAGCGACAGUCAGAAAAGUUACACCACACCAAAUCCCUGUAUCACAAAGUAUGAAACAAAGAAAAAAUAAUGACUCCUAUUCAAUUAUAUUAUUCAGUAAAGAACUGUUAUCAGCUGUGGCAUCUGUUUAGUGAGAGCAGAAUUCUUUAUUCCUAUUAAUAAAAACAAUAAAAAAGUUAUUUUCAAACAUUUUAUCUACAUCUUUUAAACUUUUUCUUAUUUUGUAGGUUUCUGUAAUGAUCAUAAUGUAUUAAUGUAAUAGUGUAUGUAUAUAACAUAUAAGUGAAUCUGUAAAAAUAACAGGGUGCAUGUUUAAACUAAGGUGGACCCAUGGUCAGCAAGCUCAGAGGCCGCUGGAUGUGAUGUCCUUUAAGGUCCAUUCCCUAGUUUGGAAUCUUUGAUUCUCAGGCAAAUGCUGUGCUCUUAUUUGGUGAGAGAUAAAACCUAAGUGCUAGAGAGACACUUUCCUCCAAGGCAGGCGGCAUCUCAUUAUCCAGCUCAGUGCCCAAAUCCCAACCAAAAAAAAAAAAAGAAGGGUAAAGACCCACAUUUCUGAGUGAAUCGGCUUGAUUUAAGACCCUGAGCUAUCUGUGUUUUGUACAACAUCUAAUGCACUGUUGAUGCUUAAUAAAUAACAAAUUGUGAUAUUAAUAAUUAAGAAUUGAUGUUCUUGCUCCUGUGAAAUGAUUUGCAGGAGAAUUAUUCCCCAUUCACUCAUAAAGAAAAAUGAGAGGCAGAGACAGAGCAAUAGCUUUUAAGGAAAUUUAGUUCCAGCUACUUUGUGUGUGUGUGUGGUUUUUAGCCCCCAUCUCUGGUAAAUCUGAUGAAUAACUGAGCAAGACAGACCCAGAGCCAGUCUACACUGCUUUCCCCUCCUUUUGUGUCCCUACCUUUAGGUAGGAAUGUCUAGGUUGUUGAAUUGUAGGAUUCUAAAGUGCUUGACAAACAUUAAUUAACUGGGGGGUCGUUCUUUGUUUGAAGAGAGUUAUGUCUAAUUGUGAAUAUGUCUCCAAUUAUCUGCUCCUUUCUUUUGAAUGUGUUAUUAUCUAAAACGUGCAGUAUCUGAUUUGCUUGUACAGUUAUUUUAGUAGGUUUUUUGAAAUAGGUGGCAACCAUGAAAAAAGGGACAUAUAGUCACCUUAGGGAGAAAAAUUGUAAUGAUUACAAACUUUAGGUUCAUGUUCGUAUUUGUGCAUAUUACAUGCAUCUACACACACACGCGCACACACACACACGCGCACGCACACACACACACACACACACACACACACACCUUUCCUGUUACGUACAAGCAUCCUCUCUUUCAAGCCGUGGAUUUUGGCGAUAGUGAUGACCCACCCUGAACUGGACUCCAUUCCUUCUGAGCUAGGGGAAUUGUUGAGAUUUGCUUUUUAAUAGCAGAAAUUGGAAAAACUCUCCAGAAAAGGGAAUUAAUCCUCCUGCAAAAAGCAAGUGUAAUUAGUCACCAGAGGAAACUGGCUCUGCAUGCCAACAGAGUCCAGAAGAUUGGCUGAGUGCUGUUGACUCCUUACCCUCCAUGAACCCAUCCUCCCACCCUACGCGGGAAGAGGGUGACGUUCAGACAGCAGCCACAGCGGACACUGGCAGCGUGGGCCUGGAGACCAGAUGGGUUACAAACUGCAGGAGACCCUGGGCCUGUGUUUUGGCAUAAGCAGUGCACCCUGUUAAUUAGGAGCAUAGCUUGGAACAGUGUCUUACCUAAUUAGCCAGGGCAGGUAUGUACCUGUGCAGGGGUGGAUUACAGAUUUUUCUGUCGCUUGGAGAAAUUUUCUAUAGUAACAAAGGAACAAAAUGUAAAUUAAUCCACAACCGCAGGAUUUGUACGUAUUAUGCCUUUCAAAGCGGGCUUCUCAGUACGUCGCCUAUCAUACCUUCUAGACGUAUCCGUAGCCUGUAAAUACUGAAGCUGAUGUCACUCUUAACUUCAUCUAGGCGCUACUCAUCAGCUUUCAGAGGCAGUGUCAUAGGAUGAAGGUUACAGACUUUGAUGUCACACACACCCCAAUUCAAAUCCUGCCUCCUCCAUUUACUGGCUAUGUUACACAACAGACUUUAAAAUCCUCACCAGUAAGGGGCGCCUGGGUGGUUCAGUCGUUAAGUGGCCGACUUUGGCUCAGGUCAUGAUCUCGUGGUCUGUGAGUUCGAGCCCCACGUCGGGCUCUGUGCUGACGGCUCAGAGCCUGGAACCUGUUUCGGAUUCUGUGUCUCCCUCUCUCUCUGCCCCUCCCCCGUUCAUGCUCUGUCUCUCUCUGUCUCAAAAAUAAAUAAAACGUUAAAAAAAUUUUUUUUUUUUAAAUAAAAAAAAUCCUCACCAGUAAGAUAGGAAUCACAGUACUUGUUAGGGGCUGAAUUGUGUAUCCCACCUCCCCCAGCCCCUGCAAAUUCAUACAUUGAGGUACUCACCUCCAGUGUCUCAGAAUGUGACUGUGUUUGGAGACAGGGCCUCUAAAGAUUAAGUUAGGAUGAGACUAUCAGGGUGGGCCCCUCAUCCAGUCUGACUGAUGUCCUUAAAAAAAUAGGAAAUUGGACCUACAAAAGUGACUCUUAAGGAUGCACAGGGGAGGACUGUGUGAAGAGGCACCCAAAGAGUGAACACUUGCAAGUCAAGGAGAACGGCCUAGAAAAGCCCUUUCCGUUAUGGCCCUCAGAGGAAACCAGCCCCCUGGCACUCUGAUGUUGGAUUUGGAGGCUUCAAACCUGAGAGCAGAUAUAUUCUGUUGUUGAGGCUGCCCAGGCUGUGCUGUUUUGUUAUGGCAGCCCUAGAAAAAAACUAACACAGUGUCUGUGAGAGGGUUAUCACACAACUAAAGGAGAUAAUUUUUGCAUGGAGUCCCUGCCUAUGUCCUAACUAAAUGACCACUGUCACUGUCAUGCAGCUAUUCAGUGAAUAUUGUCUCCCUUCUCUUCCUCACUCAGGAGGCUGUCAUCUCCCAGGAUUCCUCAGCCAUGCUCCGGUGAUACCUGUUUGAAAUCGGACUUCAGGCAAGCUGGUUCCUUCUCGUGUGGCUAAGACGAUGCAGCCAGCUCACCCUGUUUAUGGAACGGUAAGCCACCUCUUCCCAAGGUAUUCCCGUUCUGUAUUUUUCCCGCUGGCUUUUCUCGGUCCUGGCUCAAGGAGACAGCACCUCCUCUGGGAUAGGCUACAGAGGUGAAUCCACCUUGUUCUUGCCCUUCACAGUCUAUGAGGGAAGGGUUUUCUGCCAGUGGCGGGGAUAGCUGUAAAGACAGAGUGAGGAUAUCUGUUGCUCUGCUGGUGCUGUUCUGUGUUUCUGCCCUUUUCUUCUUUGACGUCAAGUGCUGGGAUGCCUAAUGUCUCCAUAUUCCGUGCAAAGUCGAAGUAGAUGCUACCUCAGGAACAAACACAAACACCUGUGGUGUUGCAGGUCUGGCUUCGGGGCCAAGUAAAUUAGCACAGCCCCGUAGUCACAGCACUUGCCCCAAUUCCAGACAGAAAGGGUUGAUGACUCACAGGCCUGCUGACCUGAUGGCCUCACGUCCAUGCCGUCAUCUGGGAAGGCUGCCUGUGCUGCCCACUGCUCUCCUCCUGGGCCCACAAGGGAAGAGCUGCCGUGGUGACAGCAUAGCACAUGAAACCUGGGCUGGGGGACAGGGCUCUUUCUAAGAUAGUUAGGAGGUAAGAGAUUCUUCACGCAUUGAAUUCAAAAGGGUUCUCUUUCCUCUGUGAGUUAAGUUUGCUGACUGCAGUCAUUUGUGUAGUCAUUUCUUUGACCGGCAUUUAGCACAUGCCCACCAAGUGCAAACCACUGACGUGCUCUCUGAGGAGCAUGAUAAUUACAGUAACAAUAAUACUAAUAAAUGUUUUAUUUUGUCAUAACCACCGGUCUAGGCCCUUUAUGUAUUACUGUGGAUUUUGUUGGUAACAUUUUUGAAUGUAUGCUACUGUUACAGGAACUAUGCUAAGCAGCUCGCCUGCACUUUAUUUCUUCAAAAAAAAUUUUUUUUAAUGUUUAUUUUUCAGACAGAGACAGAGAGACAGAGUGAGAGAGGAGGAGGGGCAGAGAGAGAUGGAGACGUAAAUUUCCGAAGCAGGCUCCAGGCUCUGAGCUGUCAGCACAGAGCCCGACGCGGGUCUAGGACUCACGAGCUGUGAGAUCAUGACCUGAGCCGAAGUCAGACAUUUAACCGACUGAGCCACCCAGGUGCCCCGUGCCCUUUAUUUCUUAAAGUGACUUUCUGAGGAAGGUACUCUGAGUCGCAUUUCACAGAUGGGAAAGCUGAGGUUCAGAUAAUGCUGAAAGUCACAUGGCUGGUAAAUGCUAAAGUCAGUUGUAACAGUUACGUUGUUCUCAUCCCAAAGUCUAUUCUUAUUCAGUUGCCCAUAAAGAGAGUUGAGAAGGAAACGUUCUAUAAUAAUUGAGGUCCCUUGUGCCCUGCACUUGGAAAUCAUUCUCAGGGGAAACAUUCUUCUUAUAAACAACAUUAGCUUUAUGUGACCAAAUCAUGUGUCUGGUGUGAUUUUCAGACUCUUGCCCUGGGUGCUGAAAUAUCUAUCACACACCCUGAAAGCAGCUCUUUAUCGACAUUUGAGAGCUGUUCCUUUGGGUGAAGGCUGUGCCCAAUGGGGGAAUGUUGAUUCCAUUAUGUCCCUUGCACCUUCCUGUCAGUGUGUUGAUCAUGUCAUAUUCUCUUUGGGAGUGCUCUAGAGUUCAAGUUGCCUUGAAACAUGAAAGCAGGGAGAGCCAGAGCCAUGGUAUGUGUGAAGGUAUGAGAGGUGUGCACCCCUCUGGGGAUGAGCAGGCAGUGAGGUCCAAACCUGAGAGACUGACUGGUUUGUGUGGUUGGAGCUGGGGGACUUCCUGAAGCUCAAGGCAGCUCUCUUUCCAAAUCCAUCUAAUCUCCAGCUGGUUGAUGGCUUAGAUAGAGACAUUAGGGAGUAAGCAGAGCCAGGCUGCUUUGGGAAUGAGAUAAAACUCCAUUACUCUGGAAUUUAUACCUAAUCAUGGUCAUAUCUACCUAUGUGCAGCCCAUUUGAAUGGAAAUAUGUUUCUGUUUAACCCAACUACAACCCACUGCUACUAAUAACUAAUAUUAAUGUCAUGACCAUUUACAAAACACUUUUAUAGGUUAUCAUCUCAUUUGGUUAUUCCGGCAAAUUCUGGGGUGCAUAUUUUCUUUCCCUUUCCCUCUGGGGGAAGUGAGACUCACAUAGUGAAGUGAUUUGCCCAGGGUCACCAAGCCGGGCAGUGGGACAUGUGUAGAGAAGCAUACCUCAUCUUUGGGCAAGGCCACAGAUCCUUUGGCCAUAUCAACCCGCCUCCUUGACCACACACUCAUUUCCCUUAUGGAACCUGAAAAUGCUGGGCUUCCAAAUCACGGACCAGUUUCAAUAAACAAAAAGGCUGACCUAAGUCUUUUUACUCCUUAUGGGUACUCACCGUCUGUCUGAAGCCCAAAUGAUGGAAACACUCUCUCUCACCGGGGAUGACUUUCAAGGAUGUGCGGGUGGUUGAGAGCCAGCUGUGCUGCUGAAUGCAUUACCAGACAAUGUCUGGGCUCUGGCCAGAUUCCUCAGAUUCCUUUUUACUGUUUGUGCAUGCUGGUGGGUUUGGUGUGAUUUGCUUUCAGUGGCCAGGCCUGUGGCUUUCUUUUUUUUUUUUUUUCUCCUCAGGGAAUGGCCCUGACCAACAGGUAUGGGAGUGCCUCUGGUCGGCCUGGACGACUGUGAGGUGUAGCUUACACCCUGGAGCUCCCUGGUGGCAUCAAGUGAAGUCAGCUGUCUCUGGGUCUUUACCUGAGAUCGCACCUUUGCCUGACUUGCUGCUAGCCAGUCCGGCUUCCCUCACCCCCUAUCAGUGUUCUCUUAGAGACCUUUCUUGCCAGAACCUUUGCACAUGAGUCCUUGUCUCCUACUUUGCUUCGAGGGAGCCUGGACUAAACAUAAAGAAGUAUGUUCCAGAAUCUUCCGCUUGCCCUAGUUUUGUGUUUAUUUCCGUGUGUUUGACUAAGGAGUUUCAAAGUUCAUCACUUGUCUGACCUUCAGUUAUUUAAAAUCGCUGAGGCUCUUUUUGAAUCUCUAAAAUGAAGGAUAAUAACACCUCUCCAGGCCAUGGUAGGAAUUUAAAUUUUUUUUUUAAUUUUUAAAUGUUUAUUUAUUCUUGAGAGAGAGAGAGAGAGAGAGAGAGAGAGAGAGAGAGAUCAUGAGCAGAGAAGGAACAGCGAGAGAACGAGACAGAAUCUGAAGCAGGCUCCAGGCUCCAAGCUGUCAGCACAGAGCCAGAUACGGGGCUCGAACUCACAAACUGUGAGAUCAUGACCCUGGCUGAAGUCGGACUCUCAACCAGCUGAGCCACCAAGGCGCCCCUAAUUUUGUUUUUUUAAUGUUUAUUUUUGAGAGAAAGAGAGAGACAGAGAUAAGGUAGGUAAAGCACUUGACAUAAUGUUCGUAGGUGGUGUUUGGGUAUUAUUUCCUAUUCUAAUAUUUUGUGUGGAAAUCUCUCUAGUGGCAUUCUGGGAAACAUGGCCAGGAGAAUGAGUCACAGUCACAGAAUAAUUCUACCAUAGCACAGCCUGGUAUCUCUGUGAAUUUCAUAGACUCAUAGACAAAAGCCGUUUAUGGCAUGUAAUCCGGUGUCUCAGGGCUUAGCAGACACCGAUUGCAAAUGCAGUCACAUCAGAUUAAGCCCCAAAUGUCAAUAGCAGUGAGCAGACCCCCAUUUGACUGGCUUCUUAUUGACUCAAGGAAGCCCAACCUUUAUAGACUGUGCCCCUCACCCCCUGCCCCGCCUCCACGGGGUGAUCACGUCCAUCCACAAUUCUUCCUCAGCACUUUUUGCGGAGCCUCGACUUGGAGCUUUAUGUCCCAUCCUUUCCAGAGUUGCUGAUCCCAGCCCUGCCACUCUGUUCUUGUUGGCACGGCUGCUGCUAGUGAAGAUGGAGAGAGCCCCCCAAGGAAUGUCAUUUUCAAAAUGGUGCAGAACUGCUUCCCGCAAGGCCUGACAUCCUCCUCGUUGUGGUUUCUGUGAGUGCAAGAGGAUCUUUCUUUUGUAUUUUUUUGCGCUCUGCUGGGAUUGGCCGUGCGAUGCCGUGAUUGCUGAUGGAGUGCUUACAGCUGCAGAGGGCAGUGCCCGGACUCUGCAGUGGCCAGGCUCAAGGAUAUAAUAUGCAUAGGUGCUGGUAAAGCUGAAACCCACUGCCCUGAGUUGGAUAAAUCAGGAGUAUUGUUACUGCGCCUCAAGGUCAGGGAACCUGAUGGCUGCCACAGCUGAUGGGCACCAAAAGAAGAGAACUCUUUCCUGUCUGUGUGUGUGUGUGUGUGUGUGUGUGUGUGUGUGUGUAGAGGGCGGAGGAGGUGGAGUGAGAUGCGUGGGUGGGGAACAAGAAAAAGUGACAAAGGAUCUAUAAUGAUUUCACCAGCAUUUUAAUAUAUUUUCUUAAAAAUUAUUUUUUUAAAUGUUUAUUUUUGAGAGAGACAGAGUGUGAGCGGGGCAGGGACAGAGAGAGACGGAGACACAAAAUCCUAAGCAGGCUCCAGGCUCUGGGCUGUCAGCACAGAGCCCGAAGGGGCGGGGUGUGGGGGGGUGGGGCUUGAACUAAUGAAUCACGAGAUCACGACCUAAGCAAAGUCAGAUGCUUAACCGACUGAGUCACCCAAGCGCCCCUUAAUAUAUUUUCAAUUAACACCCAGAACGCUUUUCUCCUCAGGACAAAUCUCAGGUGGCAAUAAGUUCUGGAAUCUGCCAUCGUGUAUAACCAUAAUCACUUCACCCCUCCAAAUUCCAGCCCUGUUGCUGGGUCUUACAGCACAGAUAAAGCAAUUACUGUAUAAAACCACAAGUGACUGUGGCAGCUUCAGCCUGUAAGGAAGUACCAUCAUUUCUCUCUGGAGUAAAUAGCCUUUUAUUUAGCAAAGAUGAGGCCCCCAGGGCAUGAUUUGGGAGGAGGCAUUGAAACAAAGAGAUAGCUAAGCCAAUCAGCAUAAAAAAUAAAUACGGGUUUUGUGGGGGGAGGGGGUGGGAGAGCUGAGAAAGGAGAAGAAGGAACCAGGAGAAAUCAGGCAUUAACCCAGAGUGCACUGCGAGACCACAACCUGUUAGACCAUCACCAGUGGCCAGAUGAUGUUCAAAGACAAGAUUAAGGUUGUUCUGUGUUUGUGUUUUGUUUUACUGCUUGCUCGGUGCUGCUAGGUAAUGGCCUGAGGUUAAGCCUGUGUCCCGUGGUGUUUCUGGGAAAUCAAGAGAAAGAGUUUGCUCCAGACCCGGAGAACUAGAAGGCAGAGCGAAUAGAGCAGCCUGGAGAGACUGAGAACUUCACUGGGUAAGGGAGAAAUCAGAAGGGGAGCCUUUGGAGACUCACGGAGAUAUUUCGGAAGAGACUGGGUUUCCAUUAACCACGAGAUGGGCAGAGUGUCAGCCAAUUUUAUGUAAUUCUCAGGAACAAGGUGACCUCAAGUGAUAUCUGGAUAGCAACCUAAGUACCCCCUCUUGCCAUCUUUUAUCCACCUCAGCCCAUCAAACUUGGCUGUGUGUGUCUGAAUCCCACUGGUUUCUAGGUUUUAGCCCUCUCCAGAAGCCCCGCAGAUCCCGAAUAAGUCACUGGAUACAAAUGGCUAAGUGGGAGGAAAAUGUGUGUAAUUGAUGUGGUGAACAAGCAAAACUCGUAGGGGGUAAUCAUAGAGCCAAUUUAUUCCCCCCCCCCACCCCCCAAACAGUGCAUAAAAUUUUUAGGUUGUCAAACAUAAUCUAUAUUCAGAAAGUCCAGCCUAUAAAAUAUCAACACUCCAACCUUGACUUGAGGUCCAAUCUUCUCCCUCCUCCAGUCACACUACUGGUUGGUGGGGAGGAGGGGAGCAGAGACUGGGCAGAGGUGGAGAACAGGAGCUAGAAUGUGUUUCUGCCCUUCUAGGGCCAGAAAAUAGUAACAGAAGAAGGAGAGGUGAAGGAGAGGUGGGGAGCAGAAAAGGUCUCACGUGACUCAAACUCUCUCAUGGGUUUGUGGUCUGUGGGCCUGACGGCUUUGAUUCUUUGGAGAGUCCCGUCCCUGGAGGCCUUUCAUCUGGAGCUCCAUUGACCCAAGUAAAGGCAUUUCCACUAUGGCCAAUUGCUCACUCCUUCUGUAUCCUCCAGAUAUCUGGCAAUAUCUUUAGCUUCUCUCCACUAGGGCCUGUGUCCCCCUUUGGGACCUCUUUUGGGACAGGACCAAAGCUGUCCUGUCAAAUUCACUCUUGAUACAACCCACUUCUGCCCGUGGGAAACGUUUGCCCCUUUUCCCCUUGACACACUCUGAGAGUGUAGGCUGCCUCGUGCAGCCACUUAUUUUUUGACUUCUUUGUCAGCUUGUUUUACGUUUGAAGUGAGAGACAGAUAGCCGCUCAUGUGUCCUCCAACUGUAGUCCUGUUAAAAUCCUGUAAGCAGGCUGCAGAUGAGCAACACGUAUUCCCCACCCUUCUAAAAUGGCAGAACACAAAGGCUGCAUCACCCUGUGCUCUUCAAAGGAAACCUCUUUCCCCAAGUCUGCUGAACCCAGCUGUUUUUAUGCCCUUUAUAUAAAUGAAGAGUCUAAGAGAUGUCUCACCCAAUCUUGUCACCAACUCUGAAGUUUCUGCAUGGAAAUAGAAAACAAUUUGGAUUGUAGCAUGUCGACUAUGUGCUGUAGCUGAUAUGUUCCCUCUGAUGCACCUUGGCUUCUCUUUGUAAUCGGACGUUCAGUUGGGCCAUCAGACAUGGUGGUUUAUAUCUGGAUUCCAAUAGUAUGAUGGUUCAAGUUUUGUCUUUUUCCCUCGGGAGAUUCUUCAAUCCCAGUGACAAUAAGGGGAUACAGAUGGUUAAAGGGAGGAAGGCUUUUUCCUCAGUCCAUUUCCCGGAAGCAUUUGUGGCUAAGUACCUGUCUCACUAAGCCUCCUUCUUACAAUUAAGAAAUGGCUGGGGAGCCUGGGUGGCUCUGUCAGUUAAGUGUCCGACUCUUGAUUUCGAAUCAGGUCAUGAUCUCACGGUUCAGGAGUUUGAGCCUACAUCUGACUUCAUGUUGACAGUGUGGAGCCUCCUUGGGAUUCUCUCUCUGCCCCUCCCCUGCGCACUCUCUCUCUCUCAAAAUAAAUCAAUGAACUUAAAAAAGAGGGGCGCCUGGUGGCUCAGUUGGUUAAGCGACCAACUUCGGCUUAAGUCAUGAUCUCACUGCUUGUGAGUUUAAUCCUCGCAUCAAGCUCUGUGCUGACAGCUCAGAGCCAGGAGCCUGCUUUGGAUUUCAUCUCCGUCUCUCUGCCCCUCCUCUGCUCCACUCCGUCUGUCUGUCUGUCUCUCUCUCAAAUAUAAAAUAAAAAAUAAACCAAAACCAAAACCAAAACCAAACAAACUAAAAGAAAUGGCUAAUGGUUCUCCUUUUUGACUCUUAGUAGAAGGGCAGCACACACUGAAGUUAAGGUACAUUAGGAUGUUUGUAUCUGAUUGGGUUUUAAAAUGUUUUUCUAAGUAUGGUAUCAUGAACCUUCCAUGUUAGUAUCCAGCAGAGUACAGAGAAAUACUGUAAAGCUUUGUAAGCAUAGAGCAAGGCAGAAAGUGGUUUUUACUUCUCUCUUGCUCUUCUCUUCCUCCUACUUGGAAAAUACACCUUGAUUUUCAUUUGCGCUGAGCUUUUCUUAUACAAAGUAGUGGCCUUCAUUUUGAAAUUUGGAAUUCGUUGUGAUGCUUGGCUUAGAAGCUGUGUUCUGAAAUCGGUGAAAGUUACAUCAAAUUACAGAUUUAGCUUGUGCAGUGUGGUUGCCGGAGAACCCGGAGAAGUACACUCAGAAAUAGAGCCUACGCUUUGGACCAUAAGUGUCCCCUGAGAUGUAGCUCUCCUAAAUUGGCCUACUAGGUGGAGAUUAAUGAGGAAGGUGGUGUGUGUAUGUGUGUGUGAAUGUACCGUUUACUCACCCAAUCAGUUUCAGUGAGGUAAUACAAAGAAGGCAGAAGAAGCAGCUACGAGGGAGAAAAGUGGACAAUGGGCACAGAUAAACUCCUGCUCCAUUCAGCCGUGCAAAUUAGAACAUAAUACUAAUUUUCUUAAAAAGGUCAGGCAGACAGUUUAGCAAAACAAACACCCGACAAAAUCCUCCCUGCCAUCUGCUUGGAGUCUGAGGCCUUGUUUAGUUUUACCUCCCCUUGUUAUUAGCCACAUGACCCUAGGUUAUUUACAACCUCUCUGGGCAUCCCGUUUCUGCCUCUCUGAAAUGGAGGCAAACCUAUCUGUCAUGCCGAAGUCUCAUGUAAAGGGUUCACUGUUCAUGAAGUUCCCCGCGCCCUGCACAGGGGGGCCUUGCCGUAAGGCAUUAUGGUCGAGUGACAGUUGACGUGAUGGAGAUCUGGAGAUCUGGCGCUGGGACUUCAGGGUCUUGAAUCAGGUUUUCAAUUUCAAUUUGAACAUGUGCCCACUGGCUGUAUUGACACAGCAGAAAGCCAAGGGCAGAUUUGACAAUGAUUUGUUUAAUUUGAUUGAUGUGGAUCGCAGAAGUGGGCCAUUCGGUCUGCAGAAUAGCUAGGCUGUAAUGAUCUGAUAUUGGCUGUCUACAUUCAUCAACCUAAGUGGGUAAUUAGCAAAACACCAUUUGACUUUGUGAUGUAUAGACAGUAAUUGUGACUGUUUCCCAAUUAAAAAUCUCAUCCAAAGUCGUGACUUUGGUUGUCACAUCUGUGCAGAUGAUUUCCACAUUUGUUCCUACCUCCAUCUCUGAAUUCUUUCUUAAAAGACUUUUAUUUUUCCAGCACAGCCAUCAGGCAUCUUCUAUACACACAUUUUCCCUCAUACAUGUGCCCUUCUUCUAUAAUCCUCAUUUCAGCAGUUCCCACCAUGGUCGAGGUGAACUCUGACGUCUUCCUACCCCACACCUUCCACAUUCUAUUAGUGCCAGAUUCUAUCAGUUCUAUGAAGUAUCUUCAAAUCCUCCCCCUCCUCUGUAAUUCUAUAGCCCUGCUGUCCUACGACUUCAUCAAGGCACCACCUAUGGUGACAAACCCUGUAAUUGGCCUUCCUUUUCCUCAUUCCAAUCUAUCCUAUACAUUAAUGCUCUCAUCUUCCUUUUCUUCUGCUCCAAAAAUCCCUGGGGGAUUCUCCUUGCCUGUAGGAUGGAGCCCGUAUUCUUCCAACUGGCGUCCUAAGCAUGGCAAGGCCUGGCUCCAACCUGUCUUUCCAACUUUAUCUUGUCUUACUCACCUUCAUGCACACUUCUGAGCAAUGGAUCCCUAGUUCCCUGCCCUGACUCAUGCCCUCCUAGCUGCUCUGCUGUCUCACACAAGUUUUUUUCUGGAAGCUUGCUCCCCUCAUUCAGCUCCCUAAACACCACUCUAAGGGCUACCUAAUCUUCAAGAGCUGUUCAGGUGCCACUUCCUCACUGCCCUCCUUUAGGCUUUUUGUCUCUGAUCUGUACUCCAGUACAUGGUAACAAGAGUUGUCCUACUUCCUCCUCUCUAGACUGUGAGUUCCUCCAGGGCAGGCUUUGUAACUAGUCAUCUCUGUAUUCAACAGGGUCUCCAUAUCUUGCAUAUAAUGGUUGCUUCUUAAAUAACCAUUGAAUAGAUGAAUGUCUAUAAAGGAAGCAAGCUUUCCAGUCUAUUUGUUUCUACUUUCUUGUGCGGAAAGCAACCACUUAUUUGAAUAUUGGAAACUCAUGUGUUUGGAAUAUUUUCCUCUGGGAAUGCUCAAUAUGUUCCUAUGGCUGUCUUCUUUCUGAUGAUGUGGGUCCUUUAUCAGUGGUAUGUGGCACUAAUUAUAGGGAAGGGGAAAGGAAAUUCUAGAAAGUAGUUCACUGAAGAGGAAAAUGAGCAUAAAAAUUCUUACUGUAAGUGGAAUAAAUAAUAUGUUUGCUGAGAAGGACAUCUUGAAAGGCAACAUUUUCUAUUUUAAGAGAAAUAAUAAUAACUUAAAAAAGUAACAUCUUAGUAUUUUUUUUUAGGAGAAACUGAAUUUGUAAGAACUGUAGAAUAAUCAAAUCAUUGAGAAAUUGAGCUGAACUUUGCCUAGAAUUCAGUAGCCACUGGGUUUGACAGGAGAGGGAAAAAUGGCUGUUGGGCUUGAGAAAAGGACUAAUGGAGACAAAUUACAGGAAUGGUAAUCAUUUUAACGGAACUUUGGAGUGAUGAGCGUUCUGAGCUGAUGGCCAAGAAAGAAUUCUUUGGUGCAAAAAGGUGAUUUUAUUAAUGCACGGGGACAAGACCCAUGGGCAGAAAGAGUGGCACUGGGAUUAUGAAGACUGACUGAUUAUAUACCUGGGAGUUGGAGGUAAAGUCAAAAGGGAGGCCUCCAGAAGGACUUUCAUAUGCUAAAGAAAACUAAUAAGAUCCCAGAGGCCUUGCUAUUGUCAAGCUUAGGUUGUUUUUCCUCUAGUAAGGUAUUAACUUUAGGCCAGUAGGGGGUUCCUGGAGAAGUAGUCUGUAUUUGCCACAAGUAUUUGUCAAUGGGCUGCAGGUUAUAAGGAAAUUUUAUUUUACCUGCCAUUUCCUUCUUGCCUUCGUUCCCACAUCACUAUGGAGGGGAGGGUGAGAUUAGGGCUCCAGGAAACUGAGUCUAUAGGUUUCUGGAGAUUAGACUACUGAGAAGAUUGCCUAUUUCUUGUAAUUUACUAAGACAUUUGUAAACUGAUGGAGAUUCAGGUCCUACAUGACUGUGAUCUCUAUCAGUUAACCAUUUGUUUUCUUUUCUUUCCUUUGUUCUUGGGCAGCCAGGAGUCCCUGAGGAAUAUCACACAUAUCCCACCUGGUGGGGGUGGGGGGAGGUGUUUGCAGCCUGUCAGCUUGCCUUAUGUUCCCACAUCACCCAUUACAUUGGGGAACACAAUGAAAGAGAAUAUGGGCAAACCCAAGCAGUCAUUUUAAUGCAAAGGAUAGUGUGAAGGGUGGGGUGAGAUUUGAGGAUGGAGGCAGGAUUUCAUUGGGACACAUUUUGUGGGAAUAAAAUAAAGUGAACGUUUAAUGGUUUAUUCUUAGGCUCAACAAAAAGCCCCAACUCAUUAAAAUGUUCCACACUGAGAUCUCUCCGGGGAAUCUGAGUUGGAGCUUUCUGAUGGUACAAUGGGAUUGGUGACGGUGACUGAAGGUGGUCCUGAUAAGGGUCUUUGCUUAACAUACUACUUUACACGCAGUAGCUGUUAGGUUAAAUGCUGUUGGGUUAAAAACCAGUAUUAGCUAUUAAAUAUUCACAAAGGUUCAGAUGUAUAUCUGCCUAGAGGCAAGAGAAUGAGCUCUAUGUACAGUUAUUAUAUGCUUCAGAUUUUCCAGAACAUCUAUUUUUUUUUUUUUUUUAAGUAGGUCCCACUCCCAGCGUGGAGCCCAUGGUGGGGCUUGAACUCAAGGCUUGAACCUUUAGAUCAAAACCUGAGCUGAGCUAAGAGUUGGAUGAUCAACUGACUGAGCCACCCAGGCACCCCUGGAACUGUAGAGAAUGAAUUUAAAAUUUUGUAUGUCUUGCCUAUUGUUCAAUGUGAGCACCAUUAAAUUUUUCUAGACUUAGUUUGCUAUACCCUA